UACGGGGGGGGCAAGCGUUGUUCGGAAUUACUGGGCGUAAAGGGCUCGUAGGCGGCCAACUAAGUCAGACGUGAAAUCCCUCAGCUUAACUGGGGAACUGCGUCUGAUACUGGAUGGCUUGAGAUUGGGAGAGGGAUGCGGAAUUCCAGGUGUAGCGGUGAAAUGCGUAGAUAUCAGGAGGAACACCGGUGGCGAAGGCGGGUCUCUGGGCCGAUACUGACGCUGAGGAGCGAAAGCGUGGGGAGCGAACAGG
rnacentral:rRNA from 1 species